GAAUAUUGGACAAUGGGGGGAACCCUGAUCCAGCAAUGCCGCGUGUGUGAAGAAGGCCUUUUGGUUGUAAAGCACUUUAAGCGAGGAGGAGGCUACUCAAGUUAAUACCUAGAGAUAGUGGACGUUACUCGGAGCAUAUGACCCGGAUAACUCUGAGCCCGCAGCCGCGGUAAUACAGAGGGUGCAAGCGUUAAUCGGAUUUACUGGGCGGAAAGCGCGCGUAGGUGGCCAAUUAAGUCAAAUGUGAAAUCCCCGAGCUUAACUUGGGAAUUGCAUUCGAUACUGGUUGGCUAGAGUAUGGGAGAGGAUGGUAGAAUUCCAGGUGUAGCGGUGAAAUGCGUAGAGAUCUGGAGGAAUACCGAUGGCGAAGGCAGCCAUCUGGCCUAAUACUGACACUGAGGUGCGAAAGCAUGGGGAGCAAAC
rnacentral:rRNA from 1 species